rfam:Dipodomys ordii contig_64798, whole genome shotgun sequence.
GGUGGCUCAGUGGUAGAGCGUUUGCCUGGAAUGCACAAGGCCCUGGGUUCAAUUCCUGAGCACCA